rnacentral:rRNA from 2 species
UGCCUGGCGGCCGUAGCGCGGUGGUCCCACCUGACCCCAUGCCGAACUCAGAAGUGAAACGCCGUAGCGCCGAUGGUAGUGUGGGGUCUCCCCAUGCGAGAGUAGGGAACUGCCAGGCUUU